CAAUAGCGUAUAUUUAAGUUGCUGCAGUUAAAAAGCUCGUAGUUGGAUUUCGGGUGGGAUGGCCGGUCCGCCGUUUCGGUGUGCACUUGCUACGCCCACCUUGCUGCCGGGGACGUGCUCUUGAGUUCACGCUCGGGACACGGAGUCGGCGAGGUUACUUUGAGUAAAUUAGAGUGUUCAAAGCAGGCCUACGCUCUGAAUACAUUAGCAUGGAAUAACACGAUAGGACUCUGGCCUAUCUUGUUGGUCUGUAGGACCGGAGUAAUGAUUAAGAGGGACAGUCGGGGGCAUUCGUAUUUCAUUGUCAGAGGUGAAAUUCUUGGAUUUAUGAAAGACGAACUACUGCGAAAGCAUUUGCCAAGGAUGUUUUCAUUAA
rnacentral:rRNA from 1 species